rnacentral:rRNA from 1 species
UUGGAGGGCAAGUCUGGUGCCAGCAGCCGCGGUAAUUCCAGCUCCAAUAGCGUAUAUUAAAGUUGCUGCAGUUAAAAAGCUCGUAGUUGAAUUUCGGGACCAUCAUGUCGGUCGUGCCUCGGUACGUACUGGUAUUGUUGGUUUCUCCCUUCUGACGAACUAUGAUGUCAUUUAUUUGGUGUUGUGGGGAAUCAGGACUGUUACUUUGAAAAAAUUAGAGUGUUUAAAGCAGGCUCACGCUUGAAUACAUUAGCAUGGAAUAAUGAAAUAGGACGUUUGAUUCUAUUUUGUUGGUUUCUAGGAUCGACGUAAUGAUUAAUAGGGAUAGUUGGGGGCAUUAGUAUUCAAUUGUCAGAGGUGAAAUUCUUGGAUUUAUUGAAGACUAACUACUGCGAAAGCAUUUGCCAAGGAUGUUUUCAUUAAUCAAGAACGAAAGUUAGGGGAUCGAAGACGAUCAGAUACCGUCGUAGUCUUAACCAUAAACUCUGCCGACUAGGGAUCGGAUGAUGUUAAUUUUUUAAUGACUCAUUCGGCGCCUUACGGGAAAC